GCUAUGGAUCCCACUGGAAUGCUAUCCUGUUUGGUUGGAGCUCUGGAAUUUAUCCUAACCUAUGGUCCUGAAAAUGAGAAGUUGUUACUAGGAUUCCAGGCUACCAGAGAGAUGAUACAUCUUCUACAGUGCUUAGCUACAAGUUGAGCUCAGAAUUCUACAGGUAAAGCACUGCUGAUUGGAGGGGCAUUAAGGAAAAUGUACUGUGAAAACCUUCAUUCUUGCUACUGGAUGUCACUCUUGCA